GCUACCAAAUGAUCAUAAAGCGAGAUCUAUCACAGCUAUUAAGAAAGCCACCUACCUAGACUGCCCAUUCCUUGUUGAGGCAACAAGAAGCAACCACAGGGCACUGAGAGGAAGUGUACCAACUGUCAAUGGCAGGCAUUCAAGUCUAGAAGCAGGGAAACAAUAAUUAGAGGAACAARCAACCAAAACCAAAUAAAGAAUGGGUUAGACAGACAUUGUGUUUAUACCUGUUUCCUGACACAUCUAAUACAUGAAGGUUGCGACAGUUUCCAAUUUCAGUAGGAAGAAGUUGAAUUAAAUUAUCCCGAACCGACAA